CACACACAUACACAUACACAUCAACUCUCCCCUGCCCCCCCUUUCCGAAUUAAAAGUCGCCUUUUGUGCGGAUCUGGUUUCCCAGGCCUGUGCGCCCACAAGGGUCCUUCGGGUUCAAAACCCUGACUCGGGCCUGCGACAACACUGUAAAAAAAAAAAAAACAGCCCUCUUACAGAGAAGAGCAGUGAGAUAUCGGCUCAGUGCGAGCACGAAGCCUGAACAAACAGACCGCUGGAGGGGAAAUGGGGCUUGUACAAACUCAGUGACAUUACACAGUGGCCUUGAGAUUAUCUCCAGUGAAAAUGAGAUGCUAAACGAGAGCCACGGUUCGAGAAAAAGACGAGCUGAAGAACCUCUGCUGAGUCAUAGUGCUUCUGUAAUUUACUAAGGUCACGCGGCGUCAAACGAGCAGGAUUCCGACUCCGAAAAGACACUCUGACCUUGACGUUCUCCUGUUUCUCGUCUUCUAAAACCAGACCGAGGCUCACAAUAUCUUCCUAGCGCACCAGUUCUGAGCUUUAGCGUCUCAUAUAACAAUGCCCGGCUUUGGUCUCUUCUCGGAGGACGAGAGAUCAUUUUGUCGGGGAGCGACCUCAGAGGCGGCAUUCCGCCCACGUUUAUGCCGCUGUUUCGGCUUCGCGUCUCUCUGGGUUACGAAUCCAAGUCGUUUAAUGAACGGUGUUUUCUCUCAACACGAAUCCACACACAUCGGCGUACGGAAGGACGACUCGGAGAACUCGGGAGACACGGGACAGAUUUGGAUUCCCUUAAAAUAGGACGCUAAACCUGUGGCGUGUUCUUCCGAAAACAACAAGUCGAUGACACCAAGACGUCGAUCUAGGGAAAAAUCAAGUCCCGAGAAAGUUAUACACGAUGCCUGACGGUUAUAACGUUAUUUGUCGUGAUUUAUAAUCAGACCAGACAAUAAUUCCCAGCUAGGUCCUGGGUUAGCCUUACAUAUUUUCAUUUCUCAGACACGUCGGUUAAUUAGCUGUUUUGUUGGACCAGGAAUGUUAGGAGAACGGAUACUCCAGAACCGGGUUUAGGAACCACUGCGUCAGUUUUGACUUUAAAUGUAGGUUUGUGUUUUAGAAGGUUCACUCAUUGGUUUUCAGUAAGCGCUUUAUCCUGGUCAUUGUCCUGGAUCCAGAGUCUAUCCCAGGAACUCCGGCGAGGUGGGAAUAAAUCAUGGAUGGGACGUUCUCUGGAAGAUAAAAGUCUGGAUUUGGUAGAGUUAUGGAUUCACUGGAGAACAAACAGAAACAACAUUGUUACAUACAUCAGUCUUGGGGGGGAAAACAACGGUGUUCCUUCGAUACACAGAGGUGGGAAAUAAUCAUUACACUGCGACUAUACUUAAGUCCGGUUUUUCCGAACGUAUCUCACCUUCUACGUUUCAGUAGAAAACAAAAAUCAUACAUUAAUAUCUUUCAAACACGACAUCCCUGCAUGUCUCUAUAAUCAUAUAUGUGUAAAGAUUUAAGCUGACGUUUUUUGAUUGGAAAGCAGCAAUCAUGUGACCGAGAGAAUGAGAACUAACACCCGACACGGUAAUCUAUCUGCUUCUGCGUACGCUUUGUAUAGAGUUAAUAUUAUCCUAGCUAACAUUUGAGAGGUUGUAGUUGGUUCGUUAGCUUUAGAUACCGUCUUCCCACGUUCCUCGGUUCUGAAACGAAUCAGACUGAAGGCAAGCGUCGUCUCCUUCUGGGAUUCUUCCUGCUUCCGAUUUCCCUUCCUUUGAAGACUUGAGGAAAAUAUAAGCGUUUUCUACUUUGACUGAAGACUCUGAUGCUGUAUUUCAGCUUUUAGCUGAGGAUUUGUUUACGUAAGUCGCACUUUUACUUGAGCAAAGAAUUUGGAGACUUGUAUCAACACGAGCCGCGAAUAUCGGAUCGCUGGUUUAUAUAAAGUCUGAGACACGUGAUAGCGGCGGUGGUGUUAGCUUUAGCAGAAGGAGACGUUAGACUUGGCUCGCAGCCUGCCAAAGCGCAAACAAGUUCGGACGGUUGCUGAUUCACGGUGCUAACUCAGCGUCUGCAAUUCAUCGAGGUUAGAACUACGCGGCGUUAAAUGAGCAGGACCGGGUAAUUAAUUAUAAUUGAUUAUAAUUGAAAUCUCGACACUCCCCGGUUUGUUGUCUUUGAAGUCGUUUACGCAGUCGUCCGAGUUAGCUCGACGUAUGCUGGCGUUGGAAAGGGCUACUCCCAAAACGCCCACAGAAAACCAGAUUCUGUGAUCUUCCAGAUCAUGUCGUAUAGCACAGAGCUUCGCUUUUGUAGGUUUUCGCAGGAUAAGAGAUCAUUUCGUUGGUUUCACAGGCACACUGGAGCGGCUGCGGAGAUGGCGUCCGCCCACGUUUAGCUGUCUUAGCUGCAAAUCCAACUCACUUAAUGUUGUGGUCCCUUUUUACAGAUUUUAAAGAUGCAGUCUAUGAGCUGUUGGGAAUGAGGCUGUGAGACGUGUUUCACGCGAUUUCUCCCCAGGAAUUUGGUUUGAGUAAUGCACAGACCGGGAGAUGUGUGUGGCGUUAAUAGGAGCGGGCUGGUGAGGGACAGCGCGACUGCCUAAGCCCCUCUGCUUUGUUCCCACAUUGCAAGGUUAACGAUUUUCCGUCCUGGGUGGCUGAAUUAGAAUUCAGCUCCCGUCCUCGGCACUGAGACGCUGUCUGCUGCCUUCCCAGCAGCCCCGGCGCACAGUGACAGGGAGAUGGAUGAUAUCUGCAGCAUGGGCCGCUCGGCUCGGGAGGAGGGGGAGAGGGUGCAUUGAGUGCACUCUCUCUCUCUCUCUCUCUCUCUCUCUCUUACACACACACUUUUACACACACAUACACACACACCCCCAAGUUGUGCACACAACCAGACAGUCACAUAUAUGACAGCACAUACACAUGCACACUGUCAUGCACACAUGAAAGCACACACACACACACACACACACACACACACACACACACACACACACAGAUGCAAGGACACAAAGCAUAACGGACAGUCAUGCAUUUUGAUGUAGAUGCAUGUGCACACAUGACAGUGUGGACACACACACACACACACACAAAUGAUAUACAUGACACAUUUGUAUGCAGAUAUACAUCUGAGGCAGGUGCACACAUACACACACACACACACACACAAGUUGGGACAUGCAAACAAUUAAGCACACACUGAGCAAUACAGUGCAGUACAGACUGUAACACACUCACACUAUUAUAAUAUACAAUUAUGCACACAAAAAACAAACACACACACACGUUGUGACAUAAAUACAAUUAUGCACACACAGAGUACUACAGUCCCAUAUACAUUGUGUAUCAACACACACACACACACACGUAGUGUAACUUUAAAAUCCAUUUACGUGCCUUUAUUUAAAGGUACACCAUAUCAACAUUUCUAGGUGAAAGAUACAAACUAUUAGCGUCACCACACCACCAACAUACAGGAAAGGUACGGUUCGGUAUCCCGAAUUUUCUUGCAGGGUGGCUAGUUCUCUCAAUAUCGUGCUGCUUGGCUACCUAGCAUUAGCAAGUAACAUAACGAGGUUCAAAGUUCAGAAGGUUCAGAAUUUCAAACGACACGGUGAAAAUGACGGGCUUUAUUGUGUGAUGUUUGGAUGUGAAGUUGAUGGACACCAGGACAUGUAGUGACACAACACGCUCAAAAUAACGAACAAUACAUCAACACAUUAGGAGAGACAGAAAAGGAUUAUUUCCAUUAUACUUUAUUGAUCAUUUUGAAAUUUCAAAGACACGUUGAAAUAUGUAUAAAUUAUUAUUUUAUUAUUUUUCUAUUUCAUAUUUAUUAGCUUUACAGUAUAAGCACAUUAUAUAUAUAUAUGGCAUUGAAUUAAAGGACCCACAGAAUAAGUUAUACUUAUUAAGUUUGUGUUAUUAUGGAAGUUAUAGGCCUCUCUGGGUGUGUGUGUGUGUGUGUGUGUGUAUGUUUCUACACAUUGUAUAUAGGACUGUAGUACUCUGUGUGUGCAUAAUUGUAUGCAUGUCCUAACAUGUGUGUGUGUGUGGGCAUGCAUUUAUAUCUUGGUCCCCACAAGGGUAAGAAUAUCCGGCAGGUUUGACCUUGCGGGGACAUUUGGCUGGUCCUCAUUGGACGGUCCUCACAAGGACACUAAGACAAAUGUGAACAGUGUAUAUAUGUGUAUAUAUAUAUAUAUAUAUAUAUGUAUGUAUGUAUGUAUGUAUGUAUGUAUGUGUGUGUGUGUGUGUGUGUGUGUGUGUGUGUCUGUGAGUCUUCUGUAUAUGCAGAACUUACCAGCUGUGCUUUCCUUACUGCACACCCUACCACGUGACUUACACACACACACACACACACACACUGCCGCAAGGGUAGCGCUACAUGACUUAUGCAUGGCCGACGUGGAAAAGCCUUUAGGUCGACCAGGAUGACUUCUGGGGAAAGUCACAGACUUCAGUUAGGAGAACGCGUCGCUUUACAUCAGGCGAUAACAUCAGCACGUAAGGUGUACCCAAACCUGUAAAAUAAAUAAACAAACAAACUAAUCAGUAGAUAAAAAGAUGGAUAGAUCAAAUCAAAUCAAGUGACUUUUACUGUCGUUUCAGCCAUCUACAGCUGGUACAGUACGCCAUGAAACAAAACAACGCUCCUCCAGGACCACGGUGAUACAUACAGCAACACAAUAACCACCUGAGACGACACAGAACUAAAUAAGACCUACACGUUUCUACAUAAAGUGUGCAGACAACAACGACUUAUAGAUAGAUAAUAGCCAGCAUCAUCACUGUUAUUAUGUGACGACAUUAUACUAUUUUAAUACGUUAUUAUCGUACUACAUAAUAAAUCUGAUUAAGCUGGACAUAAAAAAACAAAACAAAACCAGAUGCAUACGCAUUACUAUCCAUAAUUAUUAAUGAAGCGAUUUAUUGUUAGGCCCCACCAAAAUCUAACUCUAAUCUCAACCACGGGGACCAGCAAGAUGUCCCAACAAGGUCAAACCUGUGAGAUAUUCCUAUUCUCGUUUAUACGCACACACCACCGGUCAAAAGUUUGCGGACGCUCGACGGAAACGUUUCUCGUGGUCUUAAAAACCUUUUGAUCUGAAGGUGUGUGAUUAAACGUGUGAAAUCGGUGUCGUGGACAACAAAUAUAAUCAUGCAAAAACGUAUUCGUUUCUUCCAUUAGAAAACUAACGUUUCAUUUACGAAUAAAUGUUUGUUUACACGGACGACUCGGAGCGAAACGUUCCGAAAAGCAGCCGGUAAGAGUCCGGCGUCGGCGUGAACUCCUUUAAUACGGUUUAAAAAUCAUCUCGGGGAAAUUCCUCAAGAAAUCGGUCGAGAAAACGGCAAGAACGCAUUUCUGGAAGUUCUAGAAAUUCAGAAAGCGUGUCUAUUUUGAAGAUGCUAAAACACUCAAUUGUUUCGUUUUAUUUUGGAUUUUUUUAACACAACAUAAUUCCCAUAGUUCCACUUGUGCUCCUCCAGAGUUUUGAUGACUUUAUUAUUAUUCGACAAUGUGGAGAAAAAAUUUAAAUAAAGAAUGAGUGUGUGUAAACUUUUGACCAUAGUGUGUAUAUACUGAAUUAAAAACGUAUAAAUUUUUAAAUACAUGCACACACACUAAUUUUAUUUUUUUUUUUUACCUGCAUGCUGCACAAGGUGACUUCUUAACUUUCUAUUCCUGAAAAAAAAGAUGAACAGGACGUGAGUUAAUGAGACAGUAACAUGAAAAGGCAGAUCUCUCUCUCUCUCUCUCUGUGUGUGUGUGUGUUUUUUCUCUCAGAGUUCACUUGAGGAUGCAGGAAAGCAGAUGUACGAGUUUUUCCCUGCCAAAACUCUCUGUGAGCUCUAAUACAAAGGAAGACCGCAAGCUGAGUAGUGUAGGUACUUGUGUAUGUGUGUGUGCGCGCGCGUCACACUCUCUUUCCCCUCACAGAACAACUUCGCUAAAGUUCCCACGUUCAGCUGCCAAUCACACGCCGGUCACACUCGAUUUACACAACCACAAACACAGGUUUGCUCAAGGGAAGGUUUCAGCAAUAUAAUCAGUGUGUGUGUGUGUAUGAGUGAGUGUCCACAGCAGAAAGUUAAGGCUGGUACACCUUCGGCGCAUGUUGCCAAUGGCUGGUGAGUUAAAAGUGGCGCCAGCUGUAGGUCGUAUUGAAGCUGUGGCCUCUGGAAAGACCGAGCUAUGAGACACAGCCUCAUUAUCCUCUACAACGAGAGAGAAAGAGAGAGAGAGAGAGAGAGAGAGAGAGAGAGAGACAGUCGCGGUUCAAUAACUCCGACCAGAUAGCACGUUUCCCUGGCAACACCUCCGAAGCAGCUCUGCAGAGAUCCCAGAGAGAGAGAGAGAGAGAGAGAAAGAGAGAGACAGAAAGGGGGAGGGCGAACAAGGGGAAGGAAGGAAGGAAGGAAGGAAGGAAGGAGGAGACCUAGACAGCGUUGGGGUGGGAGGCAGUUCUGGGUGACACUUGUGCUCAGUACAAACAUUAAAGACUGUUAACACACACAAACAGGAGUCCAGCGGAGAACGUACACACCCAUACAUACUUUUUUUUCUUAACCAGGUAAUGUGUGUGUACAGACUUCUAAUGAUGAGUGUAUUACAUACGCUCCAUAUUUCCAUCCUUUAUGAGCCAACAGCAGAACCGUGAGACUUUGGGAAUAAAAAUGUCCCGCAUAGCGUUUGAAGCUAAUUUGAUUAGCGCUAAUAAAAUUCAAAGACCGAUGUUACAUUAUGUAUGUGUAAAGGAUACACACGAAUGGUCCAUUCUUGUGGCAUUCACGACUUCCGAAGUUGACUUGGGAAAUUUCCACUGUCACUCUGCCUUUAUACUGUGCAUAUAAGUGCAAGCUCGCUAAAUCAUUAGCGUCAGCCAUUAGAUACAACAAUGUAACACUUAGUAGUACCAGUGAAGGAGGCGUGUCCUCUUUGUCUGUAAGUACAGUGAAGGAGGUGUGUCCUCUGUGUCUAUAAGUACAGUGAAGGAGGCGUGUCCUCUGUGUCUAUAAGUACAGUGAAGGAGGCGUGUCCUCUGUGUCUAUAAGUACAGUGAAGGAGGCGUGUCCUCUUUGUCUGUAAGUACAGUGAAGGAGGCGUGUCCUCUUUGUCUGUAAGUACAGUGAAGGAGGUGUGUCCUCUGUGUCUAUAAGUACAGUGAAGGAGGCGUGUCCUCUUUGUCUGUAAGUACAGUGAAGGAGGCGUGUCCUCUUUGUCUGUAAGUACAGUGAAGGAGGUGUGUCCUCUGUGUCUAUAAGUACAGUGAAGGAGGCGUGUCCUCUUUGUAAGUACAGUGAAGGAGGUGUGUCCUCUUUGUCUGUAAAUACAGUGAAGGAGGCGUUUCCUCUUUGUCUGUAAGUACAGUGAAGGAGGCGUGUCCUGUGUCUAUAAGCACAGUGAAGGAGGCGUGCCCUCUUUGUAAGUACAGUGAAUGAGGCGUGUCCUCUUUGUCUGUAAGUACAGUGAAGGAGGCGUGUCCUCUGUGUCUAUAAGUACAGUGAAGGAGGCGUGUCCUCUGUGCUGGUUAGUCUCUGCGAAAGAGGCGUGGUCUCUGCGUCUAUCAGUACUAGCGAAGGAGGCGUGUCCUUGAACUUGAACUUACAGAAUACUGUAUCGUAUAUACAGCAGGCAGAUUUAAAAGUGUUUUUCACACUUCGGAUUGUGACCACAUCACACACUGAACACUAAAGAACACUAACUCCCAACGCUAUCGGCAACGCCCACUGCAGAGCUUCCGUAAAUGAAUCCCAGCGUUUCAGCGUAAGCCCAGCAUGCAUUUAAUGGUUGAGUGACUAUAACGGAGACUGCGACGACAAAAAUCUGUGAACAUGGAGCGAAUGUUUGACUUUGGAUUGGGACGGAGUCUAAUUCUGAUUAGAAUACGCAGGUGACUGUCUGGCCUCCCACUGCAGUGUCUGGAAACUCAGACAUAAGACUCCCCACCCGCUCCCCCCUCCUGCGUGUGCAACACACACACACACACACACACACACACACACACACACACACACACACACACUGCUGGUUUCUCAGAUUUGGAUUGAUAAGACUUCGGCAAAGUCUGACAUUAACGCCGCCUUCGAUCGAUAGGAAAAACAAGGCUGUAAUCCUCCAAAUCUGGACGCCGUCUCAAGCUCCUGAGCAGCUCUUAAUCUACUUUCGGCAUGUUUCACAUGCACAGAUGUUAAGUACAGUUUGUAAAGGACACAAGCGCUUUCUUUAACCCCCUCGACAGACCGUUUUAAUACGGCGUCUACCACCGUCAGCCUUUAUCGCUUGACAUUUAAGAGAAUUUUCUCACGGCGCUUGGCGAGACAGGUGAGACCACGCAGCAGAACGGGGCACCUGUGUGCCGCAUUUUCAUCAAGCGAUGGAACGACCGAGAAGCUGCUUUCAUUUCAUACAAACUGCUUUAAAUAUGAGUCGUACGAACGCUCAUUACUGAGUUUUAGUAUUUAGAUGUCCGUUUUACUACAUCCCCAGCUCUUAUUCGACUUUUAUUUAUUUAUUUAUUUAUUUAUUUAUUUUUACAGGAUUGCAGGGAUGUUAAAUGAUUACUUCCUGAAUGAAGUCGGGGCCUGACACGAGUGAUGUGAGGUCGAGGUAAAGCUAUAUAAUGAAAAAUAAGUGACCAUGACAAGAUGACAAAUGCUGAUGUCCUCCCUCUAGGGAUCUAACGAAGAAAGAAGAAAAAGAAAAAGAAAAGAAAGGGAAAAAAAAAAAAAAAAAAAAAACGCAGAACAUGACUUUUUUUUCUUUUCUUUUCCCUUUUUAAAGAACGUGUGCUCUGUGAUUUAUUAGGGAGCGCAGUACGCUAAUCAAGCGUAUUAAAACUGAAGUAAAUAUGCGAGGGUGACAGACACUCCCUCAUAAUAAAGACGGAUAAAUGAAACACGAGGAAAGCAAAUAAUACAAAUCAGUGUUUAAAAACCUUUCCUUUUUUUUUUUUACUGCUUAUAGAGGAAGUGAUUAUCGUAGCAUCUGCACUUGAAAAGGUCUUUGUGUGCGUGUGUGUGCGCGUGUGUGUCUGCCUUCAUCUCUGUCUUGUGUGUAAAACAAACCGAGACACGCAAAUGACCGAUAUGCCAAUGUGUCCCUGACUAAAUCUGUAAAUAUUAAAAGCAAGCGGAGUGAGGAGGGGUGCGUGUGUGUGUGUGUGCGUGUGUGUGGCUCACUAGACCCUUUAAAACACAUCAAUCCAUUUAUUAAACAUUUUUUUUUUCAUUUGCCGUCGCGCCACAUCCUCUGUACUCAGCUAUAGAGGGGGGUCGAAUAUUUAUAGGACGGUUCAGAUGAGCUCUGAAAAGUGUGCUGUGCGUGUGUGUGUGUGUGUGUGUGUGUUGGUGGGGGUAGGGAGAGCAGUGAAUUUCAUCAUUGCCUUGGCGCUGCCAGGCUUCGGCAAGUGUCAGACAGAUUCUAAUAAAAGUGUCUGGCCCCACGGUGGGCACCGGGCUGGCGCUUGCCGUGCCGCGGCUGACUGCUUGGUAUGCGUGGAGCAUGGCAGCGCUUCAGCUGUUGCUGGGGGCUCUGUGGUAAAGAGUCACACUGAUUAGUUGGCAUCGGCCAUUGUUCGGUGCGAGACCAAACGGGGGGAGAAAAUACAAUUAGAGCCCGAGAGAGACGGUGAAAGAGAGAGAGAGACCGAGACAGAGAGACAGAGUGCGAAAGAGAAAGAGAGAGAGAGCGUCUGAAGGGAAAAGCCAUUGUUUUUGAAAAACAGCAUUUCUAAUGUGGGUAAUUUAGCAAAAUUAGAUUCUUAAAAGUUGAACACUCCGGGGAGCACGUAACAAAAUUAGCCGUAACACUUAAUGAGCUCGGUUCGCGGAGGGAAAGAACGAAGAAGAAGAAAAGAGAAUCCGAGUGUACCGAGUGAACCCGGACUGCAGAUCAGUCGUUAAAUGUCAGGCCGCCUUUCCGGCGGGAGCAGACGCCUGGGCGGCAUUAGAGAAACUAAUCUGCAGUUCGGUUCUGAAAGUUUGCGCCGAUAUUCUGAGACGAGGAGGUGUGUGGAUUAAUUAAGCGACAGAAACCGUACCAGGAGUCAGACUUUGUCUGGGGGGGGGAGAAAAAAAAAAAAGACAGAGCAAUGAGCGGUGUGUUUACUCAAUACGUGAAACCCUUUUAAGGACAAGGUGGUGAAUAACGAAGGAACACGAGGAACAACGUGCGUAACCGAUUCAUGUUUAAAACGGUACUGAGGGCUGAGGACGAACCGGGUGUCGUGCCUGGAUGAAAAGGGAAAAAAAGAAGAAAAAAAAAAACCCCCACGGAGAUGUUACUUGAACGUUACAGAUUACAGGACGUCCUUUUACUGCAAAAAUGCCUGUUUUAAACGUCAUCAACCUCCUCGUGAGUGAGGAAAAAAAAAAAACACAGUGUUUUGCUCGGCGUCGUUUGUUUUUAAUUCGGAGAAGUCGAUAUCCGAUAAGGCUUCGUUAAGAGAAUCGUUAAAGUAAUAAUCUCUUAUUGACGUGAAAGGGCGACUAGACGACACGUUAGUAAUCUACGCAUCUUUACGCACGUUAGAUUGUUGAGUAACAGAGGACGCAUCGUGCUGCCUAGUGGCCUGCGAGGGAAAAACACAUCAACAGCUAAACAAGUUGGACAAAAUUAAAAAUCUUUAUUUUAAAGUUUUAUUGAACAACCUCUACAAGCCGAACACAGAUUCGUUACAGAACAUGCGGCGCGAUGAAAGCUGCGUGGGGGGAAAAAACAACAACAACAACAACAACAACAACAAAGCGAAGAAAGGCGUUGUCUAGACUGCAAACUGCUGUAACAGCAGCUUUCCGCCAGGUCUAACUGCUUCACCGUCCCUGGUUCCUUUUAGUCCCUGUUCCUAGGACAUCGGUCGGCGUCCUGCCUCGCUCUCCUGCGUCGCCUCGGGAGGAAAGUUCGAAGAGUCGCUCUUGCCCUCCGCCCAGGUCCCAAGAGCCUAACCCGUGAUUUUGCAUUCACUCAGCUCACAAGUUAGGGUCUCAGGGAACAGGAGAAGUACAGCAUGGUCCGAAGAGGUGCAGGGGUUAGAGUGUGUGGGGGGGAAGAACCAGGAUCCUGUCUCUCGCUCUCUCUCUCUCGCUCUCUCUCUAUCAUGCACACACACACACACACACACACACACACACACGCGCGCGCCCUCUUUCCUGUGUGGCUGCUCUUUGUUCAGCGUCCGGCUCUGUUCGUCUCGGCGGGCCAAAGCUCUGUCUGGUACCGUACAACAACACCGGCCCUCUGCAGACGGAUCAGGAUAUAAACACACACACACACACACACACACACAAAAUCCCCCCUCCUCUCCACCCCGAUAUUUCACCCGAUAACGUGUCCUGCAUUCCACGCUAGUCGCUAAAAUCCGAACGCUGACCCGACCGGACGAAAGCAGGCGACGCGACCGAUAAAGAGCAAACGAGUUUUUAAAAACGAACACGCCUUUUCAGACUUUCGCAUUUCUCCGUCGAAAAUGCAGCGGCGAGUCCGUGGCACCCUGCGCUGCGCUAACUAGCCUUUGUUGGCUGAGGUAAGCCCCCAGUCAGACGGUCAGUCUCUCUCUCUCUUUCUCUCUCUCUCUCUUCUUUGUCUUCAGAGCCACAGCAUUGGUGUGCAUCUCUCACCUUGCUGAUCUGCUGCAAGCGGCUUGUACGGAAAGGCAGAGGUGCAGCUCAGACACAGAGAAAGGGGGAAGGACUCGGGAUUCGCGCCUCUCGCAAACGAUUCCGUAUCAGCAAAAAAAGAAAGAAAGGAAAGGAAAAAAAAGAGAAAAAAGUGCGAGCCGCUGAUCGGCGGCGGCUGCAGUUCUCCGCCGCUCCCCCUCUACUCCCCCCAACCUGCACUCAUUUAACUCAGACACACAGCCACUGCGACACCCCCCC
ensembl:lncRNA